rnacentral:rRNA from 1 species
AGAGUUUGAUCAUGGCUCAGGACGAACGCUGGCGGCGUGCCUAACACAUGCAAGUCGAGCGGAGACAGUGAGUAGCUUGCUAUGAGCUGUUUUUAGCGGCGGACGGGUGAGUAACGCGUGAGCAACCUUUCCCAGACAGGGGGAAUAACACACCGAAAGGUGUACUAAAUCCCGCAUAAGACCACGGAAUCACAUGGUUCUGAGGUAAAAGAUUUAUCGGUUUGGGGUGGGCUCGCGUCCGAUUAGGUAGUUGGUGA